AUUGAACGCUGGCGGCAGGCCUAACACAUGCAAGUCGAGCGGAUGAAGGGAGCUUGCUCCUGGAUUCAGCGGCGGACGGGUGAGUAAUGCCUAGGAAUCUGCCUGGUAGUGGGGGAUAACGUCCGGAAACGGGCGCUAAUACCGCAUACGUCCUGAGGGAGAAAGUGGGGGAUCUUCGGACCUCACGCUAUCAGAUGAGCCUAGGUCGGAUUAGCUAGUUGGUGGGGUAAAGGCCUACCAAGGCGACGAUCCGUAACUGGUCUGAGGAUGAUCAGUCACACUGGAACUGAGACACGGUCCAGACUCCUACGGGAGGCAGCAGUGGGGAAUAUUGGACAAUGGGCGAAAGCCUGAUCCAGCCAUGCCGCGUGUGUGAAGAAGGUCUUCGGAUUGUAAAGCACUUUAAGUUGGGAGGAAGGGCAGUAAGUUAAUACCUGGCUGUUUUGACGUUACCAACAGAAUAAGCACCGGCUAACUUCGUG
rnacentral:rRNA from 1 species